GACGGCAUGGCCGAGUGGUAAUGCAGAGGACUGCAAAUCCUUUUUUCCCCAGUUCAAAUCCAGGUGUUGCCU
rnacentral:tRNA from 1 species